rnacentral:rRNA from 1 species
GACGAACGCUGGCGGCGUGCUUAACACAUGCAAGUCGAACGGAAAGGCCUGCUUUCCCUUGUGGAUUGCGGGUACUCGCGUGGCGAACGGGUGAGUAACACGUGAGUGAUCUGCCCCCAACUUGGGUAUAAGCCUGGGAAACUGGGUCUAAUUCCCGAUAGGACUGCAGGGUGGUGCCUUUGGUGGAAAACGAUUUUCUAGUGGUUGGGGAUGAGCUCGCGGCCUAUCAGCUUGUUGGUGGGGUAAUGGCCUACCACGGCGGCGACGGGUAGCCGGCCUGGGAGGGUGGACGGCAACAUUGGGACUGAGAGACGGCCCAGACUCCUACGGGAGGCAGCAGUGGGGAAUAUUGCACAAUGGGCGGAAGCCUGAUGCAGCGACGCCGCGUGGGGGAUGACGGCCUUCGGGUUGUAAACUCCUUUCGACCGCGAGGAAGCCACCUGGUUGGAAGGGUGGUGACGGUAGUGGUAGAAGAAGCACCGGCUAACUACGUG